AUGCCAUGGUGUGGACAUUGUCUAAGCAAUUCCUUGAAUCUUUCCCAAGCAUCGAAUAAAUAUUCAUCAUCUCUUUGCCUAAAUGAAGUAAUUUCCUUUCUCAUCUU